rnacentral:rRNA from 1 species
CCGAGUGCCAGCAUCAUAUGUUGGCUGUCCAGAUGUGUAAAAUACAUCUGUUAGCAAGGGCCGGGCAAGACCGGUGCCAGCCGCCGCGGUAACACCGGCGGCCCGAGUGGUGAUCGUGAUUAUUGGGUCUAAAGGGUCCGUAGCCGGUUUGGUCAGUCCUCCGGGAAAUCUGACGGCUCAACCGUUAGGCUUUCGGUGGAUACUGCCAGACUUGGAACCGGGAGAGGUAAGAGGUACUACAGGGGUAGGAGUGAAAUCUUGUAAUCCCUGUGAGACCACCUGUGGCGAAGGCGUCUUACCAGAACGGGUUCGACGGUGAGGGACGAAAGCUGGGGGCACGAACCGGAUUAGAUACCCCGGGUAGUCCAA